CCUACGGGAGGCUGCAGUGGGGGAUAUUGCACAAUGGGGGGAACCCUGAUGCAGCGACGCCGCGUGGGUGAAGAAGGGCCUCGGCGCGUAAAGCCCUGUCAGCAGGGAAGAAAAUGACGGUACCUGAAGAAGAAGCCCCGGCUAACUACGUGCCAGCAGCCGCGGUAAUACGUAGGGGGCAAGCGUUAUCCGGAUUUACGGGGUGGAAAGGGGGCGCAGACGGCGAUGCAAGCCAGGAGUGAAAGCCCGGGGCCCAACCCCGGGACUGCUCUUGGAACUGCGUGGCUGGAGUGCAGGAGGGGCAGGCGGAAUUCCUGGUGUAGCGGUGAAAUGCGUAGAUAUCAGGAGGAACACCGGUGGUGAAGGCGGCCUGCUGGACUGCAACUGACGUUGAGGCCCGAAAGCGUGGGGAGCAAACAGGAUUAGAUACCCGGGUAGUC
rnacentral:rRNA from 1 species